rnacentral:rRNA from 1 species
GCGGAAGGAUCAUUAUUGAAAUAAACCUGAUGGGUUGCUGCUGGCUCUCUUGGGAGCAUGUGCACACUUGUCAUCUUUAUAUCUCCACCUGUGCACCUUUUGUAGAUCUGGAUAUCUUUCUGAAUGCCUGGCAUUCAGGUUUGAGGAUUGACUUUUGUCUUUCCUUACAUUUCCAGGCCUAUGUUUUCUUCAUAUACACCAUGUAUGUUAUAGAAUGUAAUGAAAAGGGCCUUUGUGCCUACAAACCUUAUACAACUUUCAGCAACGGAUCUCUUGGCUCUCGCAUCGAUGAAGAACGCAGCGAAAUGCGAUAAGUAAUGUGAAUUGCAGAAUUCAGUGAAUCAUCGAAUCUUUGAACGCACCUUGCGCUCCUUGGUAUUCCGAGGAGCAUGCCUGUUUGAGUGUCAUUAAUAUAUCAACCUCUUCAUGUUUUUACUUGUUGAGUGUUUGGAUGUGGGGGUAUCUUUUGCUGGUCUCUUUGGAGGUCGGCUCCCCUGAAAUGCAUUAGCGGAACAAUUUGUUGACUCGUUCAUUGGUGUGAUAACUAUCUACGCUAUUGACGUGAAGCAGGUUCAGCUUCUAACAGUCCAUUGACUUGGACAAAUUUUCAUUAAUGUGACCUCAAAUCAGGUAGGACUACCCGCUGAACUUAAGCAUAU